rnacentral:rRNA from 1 species
CUACGGAGGGUGCAAGCGUUAUGCGGAAUCACUGGGCGUAAAGGACGCGUAGGCGGGUUGGCAAGUCAGAUGUGAAAUCCUACAGCUUAACUGUAGAACUGCAUUUGAAACUGCUAACCUAGAGUAUGGGAGGGGGAGAUGGAAUUAGUGGUGUAGGGGUAAAAUCCGUAGAUAUCACUAGGAAUACCGAAAGCGAAGGCGAUCUCCUGGAACAUAACUGACGCUAAGGCGUGAAAGCGUGGGGAGCAAACAGGAUUAGAAACCCUAGUAGUCC